CCUACGGGAGGCAGCAGUGGGGAAUCUUGCGCAAUGGGCGAAAGCCUGACGCAGCAACGCCGCGUGCGGGAAGAAGGCCUUCGGGUUGUAAACCGCUUUCAGCAGGAACGAAAAUGACGGUACCUGCAGAAGAAGGAGCGGCCAACUACGUGCCAGCAGCCGCGGUGACACGUAGGCUCCAAGCGUUGUCCGGAUUUAUUGGGCGUAAAGAGCUCGUAGGCGGUUCAGUAAGUCGGGUGUGAAAACUCUGGGCUCAACCCAGAGCCUGCAUUCGAAACUGCUGUGACUAGAGUUUGGUAGGGGAGCGGGGAAUUCCUAGUGUAGCGGUGAAAUGCGCAGAUAUUAGGAGGAACACCGGUGGCGAAAGCGCCGCUCUGGGCCAAUACUGACGCUGAGGAGCGAAAGCGUGGGUAGCAAACAGGAUUAGAUACCCUGGUAGUCCACGCCGUAAACGAUGGGCACUAGGUGUGGGUUUCAACUAACGAAAUCCGUGCCGUCGCUAACGCAUUAAGUGCCCCGCCUGGGGAGUACGGUCGCAAGACUAAAACUUAAAUGAAUUGACGG
rnacentral:rRNA from 1 species